AUUGAACGCUGGCGGCAGGCCUAACACAUGCAAGUCGAGCGGAUGACGGGAGCUUGCUCCUUGAUUCAGCGGCGGACGGGUGAGUAAUACCUAGGAAUCUGCCUGAUAGUGGGGGACAACGUUUCGAAAGGAACGCUAAUACCGCAUACGUCCUACGGGAGAAAGCAGGGGACCUUCGGGCCUUGCGCUAUCAGAUGAGCCUAGGUCGGAUUAGCUAGUUGGUGAGGUAAUGGCUCACCAAGGCGACGAUCCGUAACUGGUCUGAGAGGAUGAUCAGUCACACUGGAACUGAGACACGGUCCAGACUCCUACGGGAGGCAGCAGUGGGGAAUAUUGGACAAUGGGCGAAAGCCUGAUCCAGCCACGCCGCGUGUGUGAAGAAGGUCUUCGGAUUGUAAAGCACUUUAAGUUGGGAGGAAGGGCAGUAAGCUAAUACCUUGCUGUUUUGACGUUACCGACAGAAUAAGCACCGGCUAACUCUGUGCCAGCAGCCGCAGUAAAAC
rnacentral:rRNA from 1 species